rnacentral:lncRNA from 1 species
AUGUCAGGGACACUGACUAAUGUCCCGGCUCCAACCCUGCAGCCGGCGGUGGCAUCGGACUCUUUAAGACGCUUCAUUGUGAUAACGCACACAUUCCAGGUUAGCCUUCUUUCCGUUCACUCUGCCCUGCCCCGCCCCACCCCACCCUUUGCCACCUUUGCCGGCCUCCCCUGUCCUACUCCUAGCCGCUCCUUCCUUUCCUUUCAGAUUGCACAGCGCCUGGUUACCCUGAAGGCACAGUGGCUGCCCUACCUUGCGCACCAGUCGGUGCCAACGUUCUUCCUGCCGAUAAACUGCACCUGCUGCUCUCUGCGAGCACUCAGGGUCUCCAGGCCUUGGGGUCCUCUCUCCCCGCAGCUCAGCUGUUCCAAGGGCAGCAGGCAGCAAGCACGAAGCGCUCAGGAGGUGUUGGGAAGAUGGCGCUGACCCUGACUUUCCCGAUGCCUCCCUCGAGCCAAGAGCAGCCUGGUUCCUUCUCACCUCCGUUCCUCCUGCUUCAACGCCAUCGGGACCGCCCUCGGGACCCACUCACACCAUGAGAUCCUUCACCAAAUGGUCCUCACCCGCCCUGUGGCUCCACCUCCCCCCGCCUUUCACGCAUCUCUGCAGCCCUGCCCCAGCACGAGUCACUCACGAAGGCCUGUGGAUCGCAGGUGCUCCCUGUUGUCAGCUCCUGGCCUUUCAUGCCCCUCCGAGGCCACCUCCCGCCUCCGUCCUUUCUCUCCGCUUCUUCCCUCUGUGUCAAGCUUGGCACAGGUGUGACUUCCUGGAGGCAGCCCUUCCU